CCUACGGGAGGCUGCAGUGAGGAAUAUUGGUCAAUGGGCGGAAGCCUGAACCAGCCAAGUAGCGUGCAGGAUGACGGCCCUACGGGUUGUAAACUGCUUUUAUACGGGAAUAACGCGCCUUACGUGUAGGGCUUUGCAUGUACCGUCUGAAUAAGGACCGGCUAAUUCCGUGCCAGCAGCCGCGGUAAUACGGAGGGUCCGGGCGUUAUCCGGAUUUAUUGGGUUUAAGGGGAGCGUAGGCCGCAUGUCAAGCGUGCUGUGAAAUGUCCGGGCUCAACCCGGGCCUUGCAGAGCGAAAUGGCGGGGUUGAGAGCGCGGAAAGCAGGCGGAAU
rnacentral:rRNA from 1 species